AUACGUAGGGGGCGAGCGUUGUCGGGAAUGAUUGGGCGUAAAGGGCGCGUAGGCGGCUUUGCAAGUCAGUAGUGGAAGUCCAUUUUUCAAGGAUGGAAGUGCUACAGAAACUGCGGAGCUUGAGUGCAGGAGAGGUUAUCGGAAUUCCCGGUGUAGCGGUGAAAUGCGUAGAGAUCGGGAGGAACACCAGUGGCGAAGGCGGGUAACUGGACUGCAACUGACGCUGAGGCGCGAAAGUGUGGGGAGCAAACAGGAUUAGAUACCCUGGUAGUCCACACUGUAAACGAUGAAUGCUAGGUGUAGGAGGUAUCGACCCCUUCUGUGCCGCAGUAAACACAGUAAGCAUUCCGCCUGGGGAGUACGGUCGCAAGAUUAAAACUCAAAGGAAUUGACGGGG
rnacentral:rRNA from 1 species